GCCUGGCUGGCUUAAGUGGUGGAGCAUGAGACUGUCAAUCUCAGGGUCGUAAGUUUAAGCCUCACAAUGGGUG
rnacentral:tRNA from 1 species